GGCUAAAAAACUCCGAGUGCACCGUAUUUCGUAUGUUGCAUAAAUAAUUUUUUUUAACCC
rnacentral:tRNA from 2 species